GGCCGGAUAAGGCGUUUACGCCGCAUUCGACAACCAACGCCUGAUGCGACGCUUGCGCGUCUUAUCAGGCC
rnacentral:ncRNA from 1 species